rnacentral:rRNA from 1 species
UACGGAGGGGGCUAGCGUUGUUCGGAAUUACUGGGCGUAAAGCGUGCGCAGGCGGUUUUGUAAGCCAGAUGUGAAAGCCCCGGGCUUAACCUGGGAAUGGCAUUUGGGACUGCAAGGCUUGAGUGCGGCAGAGGAGACUGGAAUUCCUGGUGUAGCAGUGAAAUGCGUAGAUAUCAGGAGGAAUACCGAUGGCGAAGGCAGGUCUCUGGGCUGACACUGACGCUCAUGCACGAAAGCGUGGGGAGCAAACAGG